rnacentral:rRNA from 1 species
GGCGUCACGAGAAAAUUUCUGUCUCAAUCUUAAUAUUCGAAUUUCAUUUGAAUGUGCAAAAGCAUUCGUAAACUUAAAAGACGAUCAGACCCUAUGGAGCUUUAAACUAGCUUUAUAUUUUAAAUAAUGCAUAUAUUAGAUAUAAAGAAGUUUUUCGUUGGGGCGACGGGGAGAUAAUAAUAAUCCCUCCUUUAAUAGAAUAUAUAUAAAUAAAAUACUGAUCCUAUUAGCUAGAUUAAAAGACUAAGUUACCCUAGGGAUAACAGCGUUAUUUCUUUAGAGAGUUCAAAUCGAUAAAGAAGUUUGCGACCUCGAUGUUGGAUCAAAGUUUCUUUAAGGUGUAGCAGCUUUAAAAGAGGGUCUGUUCGACCUUUAAAUCUUCACGUGAUCUGAGU